rnacentral:rRNA from 1 species
AGAGUUUGAUCCUGGCUCAGGACGAACGCUGGCGGCGCGCCUAACACAUGCAAGUCGAACGAGCGAGAGAGAGCUUGCUUUCUCGAGCGAGUGGCGAACGGGUGAGUAACGCGUGAGGAACCUGCCUCAAAGAGGGGGACAACAGUUGGAAACGACUGCUAAUACCGCAUAAGCCCACGGCUCGGCAUCGAGCAGAGGGAAAAGGAGCAAUCCGCUUUGAGAUGGCCUCGCGUCCGAUUAGCUAGUUGGUGAGGUAAUGGCCCACCAAGGCGACGAUCGGUAGCCGGACUGAGAGGUUGAACGGCCACAUUGGGACUGAGACACGGCCCAGACUCCUACGGGAGGCAGCAGUGGGGAAUAUUGCACAAUGGGGGAAACCCUGAUGCAGCGACGCCGCGUGGAGGAAGAAGGUCUUCGGAUUGUAAACUCCUGUUGUUGAGGAAGAUAAUGACGGUACUCAACAAGGAAGUGACGGCUAACUACGUGCCAGCAGCCGCGGUAAAACGUAGGUCACAAGCGUUGUCCGGAAUUACUGGGUGUAAAGGGAGCGCAGGCGGGAAGACAAGUUGGAAGUGAAAUCCAUGGGCUCAACCCAUGAACUGCUUUCAAAACUGUUUUUCUUGAGUAGUGCAGAGGUAGGCGGAAUUCCCGGUGUAGCGGUGGAAUGCGUAGAUAUCGGGAGGAACACCAGUGGCGAAGGCGGCCUACUGGGCACCAACUGACGCUGAGGCUCGAAAGUGUGGGUAGCAAACAGGAUUAGAUACCCUGGUAGUCCACACCGUAAACGAUGAUUACUAGGUGUUGGAGGAUUGACCCCUUCAGUGCCGCAGUUAACACAAUAAGUAAUCCACCUGGGGAGUACGACCGCAAGGUUGAAACUCAAAGGAAUUGACGGGGGCCCGCACAA